CCUACGGGUGGCAGCAGUGAGGAAUAUUGGUCAAUGGGCGCGAGCCUGAACCAGCCAAGUAGCGUGAAGGAUGACUGCCCUAUGGGUUGUAAACUUCUUUUAUAAAGGAAUAAAGUGAGGCACGUGUGCCUUUUUGUAUGUACUUUAUGAAUAAGGAUCGGCUAACUCCGUGCCAGCAGCCGCGGUAAUACGGAGGAUCCGAGCGUUAUCCGGAUUUAUUGGGUUUAAAGGGAGCGUAGAUGGGUUGUUAAGUCAGUUGUGAAAGUUUGCGGCUCAACCGUAAAAUUGCAAUUGAUACUGGCAGUCGUGAGUACAUUUGAGGUAGGCGGAAUUCGUGGUGUAGCGGUGAAAUGCUUAGAUAUCACGAAGAACUCCGAUUGCGAAGGCAGCUUACUAAACUGCCACUGACAUUGAUGCUCGAAAGUGUGGGGAUCAAACAGGAUUAGAUACCCCUGUAGUC
rnacentral:rRNA from 1 species